CCUACGGGAGGCUGCAGUGAGGAAUAUUGGUCAAUGGGCGCGCGCCUGAACCAGCCAAGUCGCGUGAGGGAGGACUGCCCUACGGGUUGUAAACCUCUUUUGCCAGGGAGCAACGGGCGUCACGUGUGGCGCCACUGAGAGUACCCGGAGAAAAAGCAUCGGCUAACUCCGUGCCAGCAGCCGCGGUAAUACGGAGGAUGCGAGCGUUAUCCGGAUUUAUUGGGUUUAAAGGGUGCGUAGGCGGAAUGUUAAGUCAGUGGUCAAAUUGCGGGGCUCAACCCCUUUCCGCCGUUGAAACUGGCGUUCUUGAGUGGAAGAGAAGUAUGCGGAAUGCGUGGUGUAGCGGUGAAAUGCAUAGAUAUCACGCAGAACCCCGAUUGCGAAGGCAGCAUGCCGGCUUCCGACUGACGCUGAAGCACGAAAGCGUGGGGAUCGAACAGGAUUAGAUACCCGUGUAGUC
rnacentral:rRNA from 1 species